GUAGUUAGCCGGGGCUUCCUCCUUGGCUACCGUCACUUCCUUCGUCACCAAGGACAGAGGUUUACAAUCCGAAAACCUUCUUCCCUCACGCGGCGUUGCUGGGUCAGGCUUUCGCCCAUUGCCCAAUAUUCCCCACUGCUGCCUCCCGUAGGAGUUUGGACCGUUUCUCAGUUCCAAUGUGGCCGAUCACCCUCUCAGGUCGGCUACCGAUCGUCGCCUUGGUGGGCCGUUACCUCACCAACUAGCUAAUCGGACGCGAGCUCACCCCAAACCGGAUUGCUCCUUUUACCUCAAGGCGAUGUCACCUCGUGGUCUUAUGCGGUAUUAGCAGAUGUUUCCAUCUGUUAUCCCCCUGUCUGGGACAGAUUGCUCACGCGUUACUCACCCGUCCGCCGCUCGAACAUCAACCGAAGUCAAUGUCCUCGCUCGACUUGCAUGUGUUAAGCACGCCGCCAGCGUUCGUCCUGAGCCAGGAUCAAACUCUGA
rnacentral:rRNA from 1 species